UCCUCCCUCUUUCUUCGUGCUUAACACAUGCAAGUCGAACGGAAAGGCCAUGCUCUUGUGGGGUGCUCGUGUGGCGAACGGGUGAGUAACACAUGAGUAAACUGCCCUUGACUUUGGGAUAACUUCAGGAAACUGGGGCUCAUAUCGGAUAGGAGCUCCUGCUGCAUGGUGGGGGUUGGUAAGUUUCGGCGGUUGGGGAUGGACUCGCGGCUUAUCCGCUUGUUGGGGGGGUAGUGGCUUACCAAGGCUUUGAAGGGUAGCCGGCCUGGGAGGGUGACCGGCCACAUGGGUACUGAGAUACGGCCCAGACUCCUACGGUAGGCAGCAGUGGGGAAUAUUGCACAAUGGGCGGAAGCCAGAUGCAGCAACGUCGCGUGCGGGAUGACGUCUUUCGAGUUGUAAACCGCUUUCGCCGGAGACGAAGCGUGAGUGACGGUAAUGGGUAAAGAAGCACCGGCUAACUACGUG
rnacentral:rRNA from 1 species